CGAACGGGUGGGUAAUGCGUGACCAACCUGCCCCAUGCUCCAGAAUAGCUCUUGGAAACGGGUGGUAAUGCUGGAUGCUCCAACUUGACGCAUGUCUUGUUGGGAAAGUGUUUAGUGGCAUGGGAUGGGGUCGCGUCCUAUCAGCUUGUAGGCGGGGUAAUGGCCCACCUAGGCUUCGACGGGUAGCCGGCCUGAGAGGGCGGACGGCCACAUUGGGACUGAGAUACGGCCCAGACUCCUACGGGAGGCAGCAGCC
rnacentral:rRNA from 1 species